rnacentral:tRNA from 1 species
GGGUCGUUAGCUCAGCUGGUAGAGCAGCGGACUUUUAAUCCGUCGGUCGGCGGUUCGAAUCCGCCACGGCCUACCA